CUUUUCAGCAAGGUGUUUGGAUGGUCCUGUGCAAUGUCUUUGAGGGCAAGAUGGUGCUAUGUGGACUGGACAGUAGCAGCAUGUGGUGAUUUGCAGCUGACCCUUGAAUGCCUGGACAGUGGAUGGCGGACAGGUGUUCAUCCAGAGAGGAAGUUCCAGAGAAGCAGAGGACUGAUUAAAACAGCAGAUACGCAUCAAAACAGGGAGGAAUCAGCUUGGGACAGUCACCAGGUGGGAGGAAAGGAGUCCAAGGGGACAGCCGAGCCAAGAAUCUGAAACCCAAGCUGUAGAGACUCAACUUGCAGAUAACCUGGCUGCGAGUACUCUGCCCCCAACUGGUGGAAGGGAGGAGAUGGUGGCGAGAAGGUGCAUCUACUUCUGAAGUGCCUUGGGUUGGAAGUGAAACACCUCACGUCCUCUCACAUCUCAUUAGCAAGAACUAACCAAAUAGCCCUGCUCAGAUGCAAAGGGAGCUGGAAAAGGUAGCCCGCAAGGAGUCUACACUAUGAAGGGGGAAUAUAUGGAAUUGUGGUGUUUGCCUGCU
rnacentral:sRNA from 1 species